ACUACUCUGUGGCUAAGGAAGGCAAGCAGGAAGGAAACCCACAUCCUUGAGUACCUACUGUGUGCCAGGCACAGAAGUAGGCACACUCUAGGUAGUAGUAGCUCAUUCAAUCCUUGUAAUGGCUCUUUGAAGUAGCAGCUUUCUCUCUGUUGCAUAUGAGAGAACUGACGGUCAGAGAGAAGCAGCUGUCAGAUGCACAGUUCCAAUGGAAACUCAGGCUAAGUGUCGGAUCAUACCAUAUCCUGCCCCGGACCUGGCCAGGGUACAUGCCCAGUGGCCUGCGUGAUGACAGGUGGGCUGAAGAGACAGGUGGCAUGUCCGUCCCACCAGAGCCCACAGCUGGUGGAGCCUUCAUGAAGACUCGCAUGGUAAUCAAAGGUAAAGUUCCCAUGGAAUGCUGGACUCCAUUUUGAAACCAGAAGACACAUUCAUGAAAUGCAACCCUCAGAAUAAAUCAGUAACCAUGGACCCAGCAGGAUGCUUGUUGGAAUUGUGACCCAGAAACUGCCCAUCCUGUCAGUCCUGCUGAAAGAGCCAGUAAAUCAGAGAAUACUUCAAUGAGGAAACAGAGGCCCACGAGAAGAGGCAGGCAUCCUUUUUUACUUCUGGGAUCUCUGCUUUGCCCCGCCCCCACAGCAUUAUCAAUGCCAUCAAACUUCCUGGAGAACUAGAUACAUCAAAGAACUUGGGAUUCUGGAAGCUCUGAGGACAAUGCUGGCUCCAGGGAGUGGAAGGCAUGCUGGGAAGGAGGGGAACUGGUGCCCAGGAGAAGGGAGUGAGUGCCAGAGGUGCCAGAAAGAGCAGCCUGCAUCACCAGGCAAUAACAGCAGCAUGAGACCGGGCGAACCUGUGCCUCCCGCCUGCGCACCUCCCCGCGGCCCCAACGGCCCCUUUGCUCUACGGAAAGCUCCCGUUCACUCCUUAAGACCCAGCAUCCCUCCUUUUUUUUGACCCCUUCCAACACCGGAGGAGAAUGCUCUUAGCAUUAGUCACCGCAUUCCUCUGUCUACAGCAGAAUAAAGGUAUCUGACCCCCUACAGUGGGUCAGGAGA